rnacentral:rRNA from 1 species
ACGACCGGCGCACGGGUGCGUAACGCGUAUAGAACCUACCUUUUACAGAGGAAUAGCCUUUAGAAAUGAAGAUUAAUGCCUCAUGGUAUUGUAGACUGGCAUCAGUUUAUAAUUAAAGAUUUAUCGGUAAAAGAUGGCUAUGCGUCCUAUUAGUUAGUUGGUAAGGUAACGGCUUACCAAGACAGCGAUAGGUAGGGGUCCUGAGAGGGAGAUCCCCCACACUGGUACUGAGACACGGACCAGACUCCUACGGGAGGCAGCAGUGAGGAAUAUUGGACAAUGGAGGAGACUCUGAUCCAGCCAUGCCGCGUGUAGGAAGAAUGCCCUAUGGGUUGUAAACUACUUUUAUACAGGAAGAAACACUGGUAUGUAUA